CUCAGCAGGCUAUUGGAGUUUCCCUGUCUAGCUGUGGGACGUCUGUGCGAGUGAAGAGCUGAAGACGAAGGAGACGAAUACAGGAGGAGGAGGAGGAGGAGAUGUCUGAAGGAUACUGACACGGAGCAGGAGAAAAUGCCAAGGUGUCACUAGCAAGAUGCAAGCUGGUGACAAGACAGAGAAAAAGAUGUGAAGAUGUAACAGUUUGAGAUCUAAAUAAGGGAACUGGCUAAAUGAGGCGUUUCAAGACGCCAGUGUAUCUGCUGGAGAAUCAGAGCAGUAAAAAGCCGCCUGGGAGAUGCGAGGAGCUGAAGCUCUGCUCCUCAGAGAUCGUCUUCUGCAUCCUAAUGCCACACAUGACAAAUGACCGCCUCCACCAGACAACUUGCUACACAGGAAAGCAGCCUGAUUCGGUCCACACAGCUGUCCGAGUGUGCCUGUACGGCUGCAUAUAGGUGUGCCUUUAGCCCACUGUCAUGACCAACACAUCUGUGCUUUCUGGGCAAACAGAUACAAGAGCUUAACUGAGUGCAAGACACUGUCAAAGGUUUCAAACACACAAACACACACACACACACACACACAAACACACACACACACACACACACAUAUAUAUAUAUAUAUAUAGAAAAGCCCUGUCAAACAGCAGAAUGCAGGAUUUGGAUAUCGCCGCAGCACCAGCUAGUCUCCAUCUCUUAUUAUGGCAUUAGAAAGGGUGUGUGUGUGUGUGUGUGUGUGUGUGUGUGUGUUUUGUGUGUGUGUGUGUGUAUAAAAGGUGAAAGUGAUGAACCCCUCAUCAGGUCACUUACAGGUUCAGGCUUCGAGGCUUCAGACCGAACAUCCUAACAUGUGGUUGAGAGAUUGAAGGAUUUGAGAGGGAUCGCAGUAAUCAGCUGUUGGCUAGCAGGUUUCUGAGUGAUGGAGUAAGUUCUACAACCCCCCCCACCACCACCACCAUUGCCCAUUCCCCAUUCGCCCAUCUAUCUGCUGCCAUUAUCCUUAUCUCCCCCUCUUCCUCUCUUCAUCCUGAAUUCCCUCUAUCUGUGACAAAUGAAGCAUUAAGACAAACACAUAAAUUGUCAAGAAGAGAGGGUUUUUUUCUCUCCCCCUUUACAACCAAACGGAAUCAAUGAAAUUUAUUACAUAAUGAUUAACUAUUGGUACCGUUAAAGACAAAACAGCCUGUCAGUUAUAUUUAAGCCAGAGAUUCUGCCGACGUUAGUGGCCAUAAGAAGAUCGAUGGAAAGCUGUUUGGCCACACUGUCAGGAUGAAAAUCCCCUUGUUGCCCAUCGAGAAGGCUGGUUGAGGAGCAAUCCCUCCCACCCUGCUGGAUUCUGUUACACACACAUACAUAUGAACACACACACACACACACACACACACACACACACACACACACACAUACACACCUGCACAGAUCGCUGUGAUUGAGGGGGAGAGGAGAUGCUUUUUAUUCCAAAACUGAAACAGAUUUAUUUUGUCAUAUCCGACAAAGAUUUUGCGUUUUUUUUAAUAAAUUUUUGACCACUGCAAGGAAUACUAAUUACCUAAUUCUGCUGUGGCAACUUCUCAUCUACCUGUUAAAUUCACACACACACACACACACACACACACACACACACAAGGCUGUAACUGUUCCACUGACAAUGUCUCAAGAAAAAAAAGCCAAUAAGAAAGAAAAGACUAGAGAGAUUUUUGUGGAUGAGUCCAAGUCU